rnacentral:tRNA from 1 species
GAGGGUAUAGCUCAGGGGUAGAGUGUGUGCUUAGCAUGCACAAGGUCCUGAGCUCAAUCCCCAGUGCCUCCA